GAACACCAGUGGCGAAGGUGGUUUUUCUGGACUUUAACUGACACUGAGUCACGAAAGCGUGGGGAGCAAACUAGGAUUAGAUACCCUGGUAGUCCACGCCGUUAAACGAUGAGCACUAGCUGUUGGGUCCGAACGGAUUCAGUGGCGCAGUUAACGCAAUAAGUGCUCCGCCUGGGGAGUACGUUCGCAAGAAUAAAACUCAAAGGUAUUGACGGGGACCCGCACAAGCAGCGGAGCAUGUGGUUUAAUUCGAAGCAACGCGAAAAACCUUACCAGAGCUUGACAUCCCUCUGACAGGACCUUAAUCGGUCCCUUCUUCGGACAGAGGAGACAGGUGGUGCAUGGUUGUCGUCAGCUCGUGUCGUGAGAUGUUGGGUUAAGUCCCGCAACGAGCGCAACCCUUGUCGUUAGUUACUAACAUUAAGUUGAGAACUCUAGCGAGACUGCCGAGGUUAACUCGGAGGAAGGUGGGGAUGACGUCAAAUCAUCAUGCCCCUUAUGUUCUGGGCUGCACACGUGCUACAAUGGUCGGUACAAUGGGAAGCAAACUCGCGAGGGGGAGCAAAUCACCAAAACCGAUCCCAGUUCGGAUUGUAGGCUGCAACUCGCCUACAUGAAGUUG
rnacentral:rRNA from 1 species